AGAGUUUGAUCCUGGCUCAGGAUGAACGCUAGCUACAGGCUUAACACAUGCAAGUCGAGGGGCAUCGGGAAGAAAGCUUGCUUUCUUUGCCGGCGACCGGCGCACGGGUGAGUAACACGUAUCCAACCUGCCCUUUACUCGGGGAUAGCCUUUCGAAAGAAAGAUUAAUACCCGAUAGCAUAAUGAUUCCGCAUGGUUUCAUUAUUAAAGGAUUCCGGUAAAGGAUGGGGAUGCGUUCCAUUAGGUUGUUGGUGAGGUAACGGCUCACCAAGCCUUCGAUGGAUAGGGGUUCUGAGAGGAAGGUCCCCCACAUUGGAACUGAGACACGGUCCAAACUCCUACGGGAGGCAGCAGUGAGGAAUAUUGGUCAAUGGGCGCGAGCCUGAACCAGCCAAGUAGCGUGAAGGAUGAAGGCUCUAUGGGUCGUAAACUUCUUUUAUAUGGGAAUAAAGUUUUCCACGUGUGGAAUUUUGUAUGUACCAUAUGAAUAAGGAUCGGCUAACUCCGUGCCAGCAGCCGCGGUAAUACGGAGGAUCCGAGCGUUAUCCGGAUUUAUUGGGUUUAAAGGGAGCGUAGGUGGAUUGUUAAGUCAGUUGUGAAAGUUUGCGGCUCAACCGUAAAAUUGCAGUUGAUACUGGCAGUCUUGAGUACAGUAGAGGUGGGCGGAAUUCGUGGUGUAGCGGUGAAAUGCUUAGAUAUCACGAAGAACUCCGAUUGCGAAGGCAGCCUGCUAAGCUGCAACUGACAUUGAGGCUCGAAAGUGUGGGUAUCAAACAGGAUUAGAUACCCUGGUAGUCCACACGGUAAACGAUGAAUACUCGCUGUUUGCGAUAUACAGCAAGCGGCCAAGCGAAAGCGUUAAGUAUUCCACCUGGGGAGUACGCCGGCAACGGUGAAACUCAAAGGAAUUGACGGGGGCCC
rnacentral:rRNA from 1 species